rnacentral:rRNA from 1 species
CCUACGGGAGGCAGCAGUGGGAAUAUUGCACAAUGGGCGCAAGCCUGAUGCAGCCAUGCCGCGUGUAUGAAGAAGGCCUUCGGGUUGUAAAGUACUUUCAGCGGGGAGGAAGGUGUUGUGGUUAGUAACCACAGCAAUUGACGUUACCCGCAGAAGAAGAACCGGCUGACUCCGUGCCAGCAGCCGCGGUAAUACGGAGGGUGCAAGCGUUAAUCGGAAUUACUGGGCGUAAAGCGCACGCAGGCGGUCUGUCAAGUCGGAUGUGAAAUCCCCGGGCUCAACCUGGGAACUGCAUUCGAAACUGGCAGGCUAGAGUCUUGUAGAGGGGGGUAGAAUUCCAGGUGUAGCGGUGAAAUGCGUAGAGAUCUGGAGGAAUACCGGUGGCGAAGGCGGCCCCCUGGACAAAGACUGACGCUCAGGUGCGAAAGCGUGGGGAGCAAACAGGAUUAGAUACCCCCGUAGUC